GCUUAUAUAUAUAUAUAUAUAUAUAUAUAUAUAUAUAUAUAUAUAAACCUUACCAGGGCUUGACAUGCCGCGAAUCCUCUUGAAAGAGAGGGGUGCCUACGAGAACGUGGACACAGGUGGUGCAUAGCUGUCGUCAGCUCGUGCUGUAAGGUGUUAGGUUAAGUCCCGCAACGAGCGCAAUCCUCGUGUUUAGUUAUUACUGUUGAGUUUUAAACCUUGAGCAGACUGCCGGAGGAAGGUGAGAAUGACGUCAAAUCAUCAUGCCUCUUAUGCCCUGGGCGACACACGUGCUACAGUGGCCGGGACAAAGGGUCGCGAUCCCGUAAGGGUGAGCUAACUCUAAAAACUCGUAUUCAGUUUGGAUUGCAAGUUGCAAUUUGCCUGCAUGAAGCCGGAAUCACUAGUAAUUGCCGGUCAGCCAUACAACGGUGAAUUCGUUCCCGGGC
rnacentral:ncRNA from 1 species